AUAUUUCGGAACUGAAUCUAGCUCCUUCGAUACCAAUGUAUUCUAGUAAUAUGAAUUUUUUGAAAAAAAUCAUAUUACUAGAAUACAUUGGUAUCGAAGGAACUAGAUUCAGUUCCGAAAUAU